AUUGAACGCUGGCGGCAGGCCUAACACAUGCAAGUCGAACGGAUGAAGGGAGCUUGCUUCUUGAUUCAGCGGCAGACGGGUGGGUAAUGCCUAGGUAACUCCCUGGUAGUGUGGGAUCAAGUCCGGAAACGGGCUCUGAAACCGCAUCCGUUUUGAGGGAGAACGGGAGGGUUGUUCGGGCGUCGGGCUACCAGAUGAUCCUGGGUCGGGUUAGGUAGUUGGUGGGGUAACGGCCUACCGAGGCGACGGUCCGUAACUGGUCCGAGAGGUUGACCAGUCACAGUGGAACUGAGACACGGUCCAGACUCCUACGGGAGGGAGCAGUGGGGAAUAUUGGACAAUGGGCGUAAGCCUGAUCCAGCCAUGGCGCGUGUGUGAAGAAGGUCUUCGGAUUGUAAAGCUCAUUAAGUUGGGAGGAAGGGCAGUAAGUUAAUACCUUGGUGUUUUGACGUUAGCAAUAGAAGAAGCACCGGCUAACUACGUG
rnacentral:rRNA from 1 species